rnacentral:lncRNA from 1 species
AUAUAUUUACAAAAAAAAUACAUAAUAUAGCUUUGUAUGAUAUUAUUUUACUGAUGCAUCAUCCGUUUUCGCACCAAAAUAGAAAAACAGAGUAGCAAAGCAGAAUUACUACGGCAUUUACGGUAAAAGUGGCGGUACUGAACUUUAACCAGGAAGUUUAUCUCAGUUGAUUCACCCAUGCUGGUGUUAAAACUUCUGCUUCACAUGCACACUGUUGAUAAAUUAAAGACAAAGAAAGAAAAACAAAAGCAAAGUUAGGAGAGUCAAUGAUGGUGACAACUCAAGGGAACUGAGAGAUGGCUCUAGUGACUUAAAUAGCUUGCAAAACUCGGGGCACGAGGCAGCAAUCACAACAACAACUAACUUAAUUUACAGCAGAUUAUAAACUUCCCAAAAUAUUCAGGACAUCAGCAGGGCUGAGUGUAAAAGCUGGAUGACCAGUCCUAUUGUCGAGGCAUACUGGGCAACAGGAGGUAUGUCAACAAUGUUUAUCAACGUAAUGGAAUAUUGUAUAUGUGCAUGUGCUUAUUGACAAUGAAUUGCACUGUGGGGAGACAAUAUCAACAAUUGACACAGACACAGUUGAUAUGGUGAAUAAUAUUAGACUGGCACAAAGGCUGUCAGUUUAUUUCCAGGCCAAGUUUCUAUGCUGUGUUUGUUUUUUCAAGGUGUCUGGCCUGGCCGGCAUCAUCUUUCCCCGGGAGUAAAGUAGGCCUACAGAAAAGUACUCAGAACAGCCUGAAAGUGAAGCCUGGGGAUGGAGUGACUCUUCACCCCCUGAUAGGGCCUGUGUUACAGGCAGAAGAUGUGCAUCUCUCCACCAGAUGGAAAGAUCCAACUCUCUGGAAACUCACUCUCCCUGAUGUAUUUUGGCAGAGCGUGUCGACGGCGUCUUCCUGCAGAGACCCCUGCCUACCCCGGGACUGGAGCCUGAUACAGAGGAGGCCUCUGACGAGCUCAGCGCUAGGCUCCACCUCCACCCUGGGCUCCACCUCCGCCCUGGGCUCCACCUCCAUGGACCUGAGGUGCAGGCCAGGGAUCCGGGGCAGCCUGAUCCUGCAUCCAGUAUCCCCUGCCCUGUGUCCCUCCAACUCUCCCCUGCAACCCCCAGACUCCCGCUGAGUCUGAGCAGGGCAGUCUCAGUCUAGAGGUGGAGCAUUAGGUGAAGUUCAGAGACGGGCACAAAGAGGCUCAAGAGGAGGAGGAUACGGCAGCCCUGAGGUCAAAAGUCAUAUACAGUAUGAUCCCGAAAGAGACUUCGCCAACUACGGUACACAAAUAUAUGGAUUUCCUUUGAAUUGGAAAAUUCUUCAUCAAAAACAAUAUGCUAUAUCUCAAAUUCAUGGAAACUCAACUCUGAUUUUAUGCAUUUCAUUCAAUUUUUGUGCUAAUGCGAUGUUGAUUUUGUUAUUUUUGCUUACAGGAAUCACACCUCAUAGGGGGGUUUUCCUUUAUGGCCCCCCGGGAACAGGAAAGACUAUGAUUGGAUGAGCCAUAGACAAUGAGGUCGGGGCACACAUGACCGUAAUCAACCGUCCAGAAAUCAUGAGCAAGUAUGGUCAUAUUAUUCCUACCUAAUGAAAUGUGGUUGGAUACCAAGUACAAGAUCAUGUAUUGAGGGUUAGUGAUGCUCGUACAUCCAUAUCAAGUGACCUUUGUUUAUUUUGUUGUCAUGUUCGACCUGUCUUUACAGAUUUUAUGGUGAAACAGAGGUCAGAUUGAGGCAGAUAUUCACAGGAGCCUCUCAAAGGUAAAUAUUGAGAGAAAAAAUACAUAUCAACCUUAGAAAUGCAGACUGACAUCCAAAAUAUCCCCCUCUUUCCUGGACAUCCUUCAGACAUUCUCCCUCUGUCUGCUGAGUGCCUGCUGAAUCUUGAUUUUUGUUCUGUCAGCGAAUCAGUCUAAUGAGAAAAAGAGAGCGCAGGCCCAUGAUCAGAGAUGGCUCGACAGCCGCCCUCCGCCCCUUUAGAGAACACAGGGAGCCUGGGAAACCCAUCACCGCUGGUCGCCAUCAUGUGCCAAAUUGGCAUCACGUUAUGGCCAAGUAUAUCUUCAUCUCCCCAGCCCAGCUCCUUGGUGCAGAUGGUGCACUGAAGUAGCUGCUCUCCCUCCUGCUAUCUGUUUUCCAUACCGAUGCUAAGGCUUGUUGUAUAAUCCAAGGUCACCAACCACCAAGGGCCUGCUGCUGUGGAAUGUGGCGAAAGCACUUCCUGCUCCCAGAAUUCUUCUCCCUCCACUCUCACUGUAAUUUAUUUGUGUUUUGGUCCCUCUGCUGGGCCUGUGGUAUAGGGGGAGGUGGAAAUAGCAUUAUUUCUCAGCCAGACCACCCAUUUUAGAACAUAGUACAAGGAGCUCUGUUUAUAGUAUUAAUAUUGUAUUGCCAGAUAAUGCCUGAUAGUUUCAGAAGAUGUAAAACAGUAAUUUAUUAAGCCUUCAGACACAUUUAUGGUCUGGAAAUGUCCUUUAUGUUUGAGCUUUUAGUGUCUGGGUCAUUGGUUAGGGCUAAGAUUAUUGAUUAAUAAUUUAUUACACCUACAUGCUCAAAUUCAAGCACAGUCAUGCUGCCUUAAAAGCAUACUUGCUUCAUCCUACUCCAAUUGCUCUCUUACAUUCAAACCCCUCAUUUACUGAUUUAAUGCUUGUUUUACCAGGGAAGUUGACUGAAACUUGAGUGCACAUUCUUAUACCAUGGUAACAUUCCUAACUGUCCUGGUUGGUCUCUUCCUCCAGGAGGGCCACUCAGGCCAGCUGCUGGUCCUUGUGGCACCAACCGGCCCCACGCCCUGGACCCAGCUCUCUAAAUCAAAUUUUAUUCGUCACAUGCGCCGAAUACAACAGGUGUAGACCUUAAGUGAAAUGCUUACUUACAAGCCCUUAACCAACAAUGCAGUUCAAGAAAGAGUAAAGAAAAUAUUUCCUAAGUAAACUAAAGUAACAAAAAUUAUAAAAAGUAUCACAAUAAUAUAACAAUAACGGGGCUAUAUACAGGGGGUAACGGUGCCAAGUCAAUGUUCGGGGGUACAGGUUAGUCGGAGGUAAUUUGUACAUGUAGGUAUGGGUAAAGUGACUAUGCAUAGAUAAUAGACAGCGCUUAGCAGCAGUGAAAAAACAAAUGGGGGGGGGGUCAAUGUAAAUAGUUUGGGUGGCCAUUUAGUUCAGGUAGGCUGUUGAUUAUGUGUUCAGCAGUCUCAUGGCUUGGGGAUAGAAGCUGUUAAGGAGCCUUUUGGUCCUAGACUUGGCGCUCCAGUACCGCUUUCCGCUCUGGUACCGAUUGCUAAACUUCCUCUGACACUGCCUAGUAUAAAGGUCCUGGAUGGCAGGAAGCUUGGCCCCAGUGAUAUACUGGGCCGUACGCACUACCCUCUGUAGCGCCUUACGGUCAGAUGCCGAGUAGUUUCCAUGCCAGGCGGUGAUGCAACCAGUCAGGAUGCUUUCGAUGGUGCAGCUGUAGAACUUUUUGAGGAUUUGGGGACCCAUGCCAAAUCUUUUCAGUCUCCUGAGGGGGAAAAGGUGUUGUUGUGCCCUCUUCACGAUUGUCUUGGUGUGUUUGGACCAUGAUAGCUCGUUGGUGAUGUGGACACCAAGGAACUUGAAACUCUCGACCCGCUCCACUUCAGACCCGACAAUGUCAAUGGGGGCCUGUUCAGCCCUCCUUUUCCUAUAGUCCAUGAUCAGCUCAUUUAUCUUGCUCACAUUGAGGUAGAGGUUGCUGUCCUGGCACCACACUGCCAGGUCUGAUCGUUGUCGGUGAUCACGCCUACCACUGUUGUGUCGUCAGAAAACGUAAUGAUGGUUUUGGAGUCGUGUUUGGCCAUGCAGUCGUGGGUGAGCAGGGAGUACAGGAGGGGACUAAGCACGCGCCCCUGAGGGGCCCCAGUGUUGAGGAUCAGCGUGGCAGAUGUGUUGUUGCCUACCCUUACCACCUGGGGGUGGCCCAUCAGGAAGUUCAGGACCCAGUUGCAGAGGGAGGUGUUUAGUCCCAGGGUCCUGAUCUUUCACGUUAUAAAAAUAAAGAAAAACCCUUGAAUGAGUAGGUGUGUCCAAACUUUUGACUGGUAGUAUAUAUGAAAAAGCCAUGUUUCUCACCACUCCCAUGUUGUGGUUUAUUUAGAGCUGGAUUACUGCGAGGCCUACGAGACAGAGUGGCUCACCACACCAACCCUCUGAGACUCUCCUGACCUAAGGAAGUGGGCUUGUACUUUGGCUUGUGGAUCCCAUUGAGAAAAACCUUCUUUAAAGUAAAACCCAAACCAUUUACUUGUUGUGAAAUUCCUCAUGGCCCAUACAGCCUUAACCCUGCAACCCAAUCCCCCUAACCGGGAA